CCGACUUACAGACCCUAACAAAACACGCUUUUGAACUUCAGUCUCCUAACAAAGAUGGCUCGAGCUCUGAAUCUCCUUCUCACUGGCUGUCUGCUGCAAGGUGCCCUGUGUGGAAAAUUUAAGGUCUCAAUGCCAGAGACUAUAAAUGUUCUGAGUGGAUCCUGUGUGACCAUCCCCUGUUCCUUUGACAUAGAGGACAAAUGGAAAACAAACUUAGACAGAUCAUGUAGAGCUAUAUGGAAAAAUAAUGGUGUAUACAUAUUUGAUAGCAGCA